rnacentral:rRNA from 2 species
CGGGAGGCAGCAGUGGGGAAUAUUGCACAAUGGGGGAAACCCUGAUGCAGCGACGCCGCGUGAGCGAAGAAGUAUUUCGGUAUGUAAAGCUCUAUCAGCAGGGAAGAAGAAAUGACGGUACCUGACUAAGAAGCACCGGCUAAAUACGUGCCAGCAGCCGCGGUAAUACGUAUGGUGCAAGCGUUAUCCGGAUUUACUGGGUGUAAAGGGAGCGCAGGCGGAAGGCUAAGUCUGAUGUGAAAGCCCGGGGCUCAACCCCGGUACUGCAUUGGAAACUGGUCAUCUAGAGUGUCGGAGGGGUAAGUGGAAUUCCUAGUGUAGCGGUGAAAUGCGUAGAUAUUAGGAGGAACACCAGUGGCGAAGGCGGCUUACUGGACGAUAACUGACGCUGAGGCUCGAAAGCGUGGGGAGCAAACAGGAUUAGAUACCCUAGUAGUC